GACGAACGCUGGCGGCGUGCUUAACACAUGCAAGUCGAACGGUAAGGCCCUUCGGGGUACACGAGUGGCGAACGGGUGAGUAACACGUGGGUGAUCUGCCCUGCACUUCGGGAUAAGCCUGUGAAACUGGGUCUAAUACCGGAUAGGACCACUGCCUGCAUGGGUGGGGGUGGAAAGCUUUUGCGGUGUGGGUUGGGCCCGCGGCCUAUCAGCUGGUUGGUGGGGUGAUGGCCUACCAAGGCGACGACGGGUAGCCGGCCUGAGAGGGUGACCGGCCACACUGGGACUGAGAUACGGCCCAGACUCCUACGGGAGGCAGCAGUGGGGAAUAUUGCACAAUGGGCGCAAGCCUGAUGCAGCGACGCCGCGUGAGGGAUGACGGCCUUCGGGUUGUAAACCUCUUUCAGCACCGACGAAGCGCAAGUGACGGUAGGUGCAGAAGAAGGACCGGCCAACUACGUGCCAGCCGCCGCGGUAA
rnacentral:rRNA from 1 species